rnacentral:rRNA from 1 species
GAUGAACGCUAGCGGCAGGCUUAAUACAUGCAAGUCGAGGGGCAGCAUGGUGUAGCAAUACACUGAUGGCGACCGGCAAACGGGUGCGGAACACGUACAGAACCUUCCUUCGAGCGGGGAAUAGCCCAGAGAAAUUUGGAUUAAUACCCCAUAGUACAACGGAGUGGCAUCGCUUUGUUGUUAAAGAUUUAUCACUUGAAGAUGGCUGUGCGGCUGAUUAGGUAGUUGGCGGGGUAACGGCCCACCAAGCCUGCGAUCAGUAACUGGUGUGAGAGCACGACCAGUCACACGGGCACUGAGACACGGGCCCGACUCCUACGGGAGGCAGCAGUAAGGAAUAUUGGUCAAUGGACGAAAGUCUGAACCAGCCAUGCCGCGUGGAGGAUGAAGGUCCUCUGGAUUGUAAACUUCUUUUAUAUGGGACGAAAAAAGGCCUUUCUAGGUCGUCUGACGGUACCAUAUGAAUAAGCACCGGCUAACUCUGUGCCAGCAGCCG